rnacentral:rRNA from 1 species
ACGGUGGAGACCUAGGCACCCAGAGACGAAGAAGGGCGCAGAUACCGGCGAAACGCUCCGGGGAGUUGGCAACAAACUUUGAUCCGGAGAUCCCCGAAUAGGGCAACCUGUACAACUUCCAACAGAAUUCAUAAGUUGGAAAGAGGCAACCCAGUGAAUUGAAACAUCUUAGUAGCUGGAGGAAAAGAAAGCAAACGCGAUUCCCGUAGUAGCGGCGAGCGAACCGGGAACAGCCUAAACCCAUUUCCAUUAGGGAAUGGGGGUAGUGGGAAGACAUUAUAAAAAAUAGAAAAUAAGAGAAAUUUCUAAUCAGCGAAGCUGUUAAAAAUUUCUUCUCUUUAAAAAUUUUCUAAAAACGAAACAGCUGAAUCCUGUACCAUAGAUGGUGAAAGUCCAGUAGUUGAAAUGAAAAAAAACAAAAUGUCUUAUCCCGAGUAGCAUGGGACACGUGGAAUCCCGUGUGAAUCAGCGAGGACCACCUCGUAAGGCUAAAUACUCCUGGGUGACCGAUAGUGAAAUAGUACUGCGAAGGAAAGGUGAAAAGAACCCUCGUAUAGGGAGUGAAAUAGAACAUGAAACCGUAAGCUGACAAGCAGUGGGAGGUUAAGAGCUGACCGCGUGCCUGUUGAAGAAUGAGCCGGCGACUUAGAGGGAGUGGCAAAAAGGUUAAGGAGAAACAUCCGGAGCCAACGCGAAAGCGAGUCCGAAAAUUCGGCGAAGAAUUUGUCAUUUCCUCUGGACCCGAACCCGGGUGAUCUAAUCAUGACCAACAUGAAGCUUGGGUAACACUAAGUGGAGGUGUGCACCGACCGAUGUUGAAAAAUCGGCGGAUGAGUUGUGAUUAUGCGCAGAAAUUGCAAUCGAACUCGGAGCUAGCUGGAUCUCCCCGAAAUGCGUUGAGGCGCAGCGGCAACGACGAGCUAUCAUAAGGUAAAGCUACUGUUUCGAUGCGGGCUGCGAGAGCGGUACCAAAUCGUGGCAAACUCAGAAUGUAUGAUAUUGCCUACCGUUAGCCAGUGAGACCCAAGGUGAUAAGAUCUUCGGUCAAGAGGGAAACAGCCCAGAUCACCAGCUAAGGCCCCUAAAUGGUUUCUAAGUGGAAAAGGAUGUGAGAGUGCAGAAACAACCAGGAGGUUUGCUUAGAAGCAGCAAUUUCCUUGAAAGAGUGCGUAAUAGCUCACUGGUAAAGCGUUCUUGCGCCGAUAAUGGCCGGGACUAAGAAACCUGCCGAAGCUGUGAGAUUCUUAUAUAAGAAUCGGUAGGGGAGCGUUCCGUUAUUGGGUGAAGUUAUGGUGUAAACCAGAAUGGACAAAACGGAAGUGAGAAUGUCGGCUUGAGUAACGAAAACAUUGGUGAGAAUCCAAUGCCCCGAAAACCGUUGGGUUCCUCCACUAGGUUCGUCCAUGGGGGGUUAGUCAGGUCCUAAGGCUAGGCCGAAAGGCGUCGUCGAUGGCAAACAGGUUAAUAUUCCUGUACUGAUUCUAUUGGGAACAAGGGACGAAGAAGGCUAAACUGAGACUACUAAUGGAUUAUAGUGGAAGCGUCAAGGUGUUGAGAGUUAGAAGAAAAACUAAACUUGAGCUGAGGCGUUAUCCCGAUAACAAUCCUUCGGGGUUGUUGUCGUCAGUGAUGUCAUGCUUCCAAGAAAAGCUUGAGCUCCAUAACAAUAGAAUUACCUGUACCUAAAACCGACACAGGUAGGUGAGUAGAGAAUACUAAGGGGCGCGAGAGAACUCUCUCUAAGGAACUCGGCAAACUGGCCCCGUAACUUCGGAAGAAGGGGCGCCUUUAAUUUCAUUAAAGGUCGCAGUAAACAGGCCCAGGCAACUGUUUAUCAAAAACAUAGGUCUCCGCAAAGUCGAAAGACUAUAUAUGGGGGCUGACGCCUGCCCAGUGCCGGAAGGUUAAGGAAGUUGGUUAGAGAGCUUGUCUCUCGAAGCUGACGACCGAAGCCCCGGUGAACGGCGGCCGUAACUAUAACGGUCCUAAGGUUAACGCUAGCUUUAGUAAAAUCAAGCUAUAUGCUGGAACGUACCCGCCUUAAAAUAAACAAAAAGUUUAAGCGAAGCGGUUGGAGAUAACCAGCAGGAAAGACUAGGUAAUAGGGUUUAACCCCAAACAACCUAGUAUCCUCAGAGACUACACGCUUGACACUUUUACAUAAGUGAGUAUUAUUAAUCUUCUAUAUUGUCUAUCUUACAAACUAUAAACAAAUAAAAAAAAAAAAUUAAAAUUAUGAAUAAAAACCUCUAUAAAGUUGAACAAAAACGAGAUACAAAUGGCAUCUGUAUACCAAAAUAUGAUAAUUAUGUAAUUCCAACUUUAGACAAAACAGCACCGGCUUCCAAAAUUCUAAAUAGUAAACAAGACUUAAGUGGUAAAAAAUUUACUGUUAAAGAUGCAUUUGGUCGCGAUGUAGUAAUGUCGGCGGAUUGGAUUGCUGGUUUUACAGAUGGGGAAGGAACAUUAACAAUAAAUAUAAACAAAAAUACAACAUUAACAUAUAAGUUUCAAAUACAACCAGUAUUUAUUAUUGUUCAGGGUGAAGCUGAUUAUUAUUUACUAACAGCUAUUGCGAACUUCUUUGGUUGUGGUUCAGUAACUGUAAAUAGAAAGGAUAAAACUUCAGUACGUUAUCAAUAUCGUGUAAACAAUUUAGAAUUACUAACUAAUAUUUUUAUUCCUUUCUUUGAUAAAGUUUCUUUAUUAACAAAGAAAAAAGAUGAGUAUUUCCUUUGGAAAGAUCUAGUUAUUGAACAUAGAAAUAAAACAAAUCUAGAUUCUUGGCCGAACAGUAUGGUUGCUUUCCUAGAAAAAGCAAAGCUUUGGAAAUGCUUAGGUACACAAACUAAACAAACUGAAUCUUAUAUAAAAACGUGUGAUAAAUAUAUUGAAAUUGUUAAAGGAAUUCCUUCUGAGAACAUAGAACGAUUAAAAUAACACUUAGAAAGUGAAGAUAGAGUCCAAACUCCAGCAUGAGCUGUGAGACCUAACUCGUAAGGAUUAGGGGUUUAUCUUAAUAAAGAUAAAUUAGAUUGAGCGAAAUUCAUUGUCGAGUAAGUUUCGACCUGCACGAAAGGUGUAAUGAUCUGGGCGCUGUCUCGGAGAGAGACUCGGUGAAAUAGACAUGUCCGUGAAGAUGCGGACUACCAAUACUAGGACAGAAAGACCCUAUGAAGCUUGACUGUAUCCUGGAAUUGAACUCGGGCUUUUCUUGCGCAGCCUAGGUGGGAGGCGUUGAAGGUCCCCUUCCGGGGGGGCUGGAGCCAUCAUUGAGAGACCACUCUGGAAGAGCUAGAGUUCUAAUGGUGAUCUUUGAAACAAGACACUUGACAGUUUCAGGUGGGCAGUUUUCCUGGGGCGGGAACCUCCCAAAGCGUAACGGAGGUGUGCAAAGGUUCUCUCAGUCUGGACGGAAAUCAGACAUUGAGUGUAAAGGCAAAAGAGAGCUUGACUGUAAGACCAACAAGUCGAGCAGGGGCGAAAGCCGGCCUUAGUGAUCCGACGGUGCCGUGUGGAAGGGCCGUCGCUCAACGGACAAAAGUUACUCUAGGGAUAACAGGCUGAUCUUCCCCAAGAGUUCAUAUCGACGGGAAGGUUUGGCACCUCAUCAUGGGGAGGUUUAUGUGAAAACAUUAAUCCUUUAUUUAGCUGUAUGCUGGAACAACCUUAUAUUUCUUACAUAAGGUCAAUCAGCAGGGAAGUAACUUUCAAGUUACCCUUCAACGACUACAUGCUAAACAUCUCUUCUUAAUAUUAUAUUCUAAAGAGAUGGUGAUAUAGUCUGAACUUCUAGGAAACUAGAAGAACAAAAAAUCAAAUUAUAUUCAAAUCAUUAAAAACUAAACAAACAAUUAAAAUAAAUAAAAUUUAUGAAAGAACAAAAAAUACAUGAAAUUUCUAAACAAAAAGAAGAUAAUCUUUUAAAGUUAUGUACAAAUUUAACACUUACACAAGCUGAAUUAUUAAUGGGUAGUUUACUUGGAGAUGGGAAUCUCCAAACCGCUAGCAAAACAGCUGGUACUUGGCGAGCACGAUUUCUCCAAGGUGAAAGACAAAAAGCUUAUUUGUUCUAUAAAUACGAAACUUUAAAAAAUUUCGUUGGUACAGAACCAAGACGUUCUUCAAAUUUUGAUAGAAGAACAAAUACAGUUUAUACACGUUACUCAUUUAAUACAAAGACUUUUUCUGAAGUUAAACCUUUAGCAGAAAUGUUUUACACUUGGAACGAAGAAACAAGACGUUUCGACAAAAAGUUACCAAAAAAUAUUGGAGAUUUUCUAACUCCAGGUGUAAUAGCUAUAUGGUUUAUGGACGAUGGAAGUGCUAAGUGGAUAGGUCAUAGUAACUCUAUACGCUUUAGUACAGACUGCUUCUCCCAAGAAGAAAUUGGUUAUCUACAAAAAGGUUUAAAAGAUUACGGUAUUGAUACAACUCUUCAACAGAAGAGAAGAAAUCAAUGGACUUUGGCUACAAGUGAAUCAAGUGCUAAUACACUAAAAGUCCUUCUUUCUGAGAAAAUUCAUCCUGACUUUUAUUCUAAAGUUCCUUGGAUGGUUUAGUUUGGUGCAUUUGUUUUGGUUUUUUCUAACACAAUUGCGAUGUCGGCUCAUCACAUCCUGGAGCGGUAGUACGUUCCAAGGGUUGGGCUGUUCGCCCAUUAAAGUGGUACGUGAGCUGGGUUCAGAACGUCGUGAAGUCUCGCGACUUUGUAAAGUAAUUUACAAAAAAGAAAAACAAUUGCCUCAUAUCGAUGAAGCUCUAAAGUUUAAUAUAUAGAAACUUUUGAUAAUAUCGAGGGAAGUCGAGACCUUUUCUCUUAAAAUAUAGAACGAAUGAUAAAAAUUUUAACAAAAACAUAAAAUAUGAACAAAACAAAUAUGAACAAAGCGAAUAAAAGCUUUCCCGCGAAACGCAAGAACGUUAAAAUCACGAGAGAAAUCCGUGAUAUUAUACAUGGUUAUGUUAUGUCUGAUGGUUAUUUACGUGAAGGUCAGUUAACUGUUGAGCAAAACAGUGAAUCGUCGGCAUUUGUUGAAUGGUUGUAUUCAAAAUUAGAACACCUAACUACACGUAAUGGCAUAAAAGAUGUUCAAAGGUUUGAUAAACGAACUAAUACCACAACUUAUUCCAAACGUUUUUUCACUAGAAGGUUACUUAAAGGUUUUAAUAAAAUGUGGUAUAAAGCCAGUGGUAUCCACAAAAAAACAGGUAAACCACAGGUAAACCUAAGUAUGUUAAGACCGUACCUAAAAGUCUUGGCUGUUUCUUUAGCAAAACCUUUAUAACUGUUUGGUAUGCUGGUGAUGGUACGAAAAUUAUUGGUAGUCGUGGUGCAAAAAUAGAAGCAACUUGUUUCAAUGAAGAACAAAAAUUAUUAAUAAAAGAACUAUUUAAGUCAAAAUACGACAUAAAUAUUCACAUUAAUAAAGCGGGUCUAAGCAAAACUGGUACGCAACAAUGGACUUUUAAUAUUAAUUCUGAAGAUUAUGAUAAAUUUCAUAAUAUUAUUACAGAAAUUGAUCUUAUCCCUAAGUUAUUUCCAAAUAAGCUUUGUUAUUAAUCAUUCUAUAUAUUUUAAAUAGAAUAAAUUCGGUCUUUGACCCCGUAACGACUUUGCGUUUAUUCGCAGGAUAGCUAUUACCUUUCUUCUACAAGAUCUUAAUAUAAGAAGUUUAAGAAGAAAAGUUAGCUAUAACACGGCAACUCUUUUAAAUAUUAUUUUAAAAGAUGAAAGUAUAGUCUAGUUCCUUAAGGAAACUUAAGGUAGGUCUAAGAAUAUAUUUGAUAAUUUAUUCUUGGACACAGAGACAGUUUGGUCCAUAUCCGGUAUUGGCGUAAGAGCAUUGAGAGGAGUCUUUCAUAGUACGAGAGGACCUGAAAGAAUGUGCCAAUUGUGUACCAGUUCUCAUUCCAAUGGGAAACGCUGGGUAGCUAUGCACAGAGACGAUAAAAGCUGACAGCAUCUAAGUUUGAAGCUCACCUCAAGAUGAGUGCUCUCUAAUUAGGUCGCGGGAAGAUCACCCGUUUUAUAGGCGUUAGGUCUACAGUCAGUAAUGGCUUGAGCUGAGACGUACUAAAGACCAAUUGAUUUUGAU